CCUGGGCCGCUGCCGUUCGAUUUGUCACCGGCCUCGUUCGCUGAUAACAGGCAUUUGUCAUCGCCUUGCCUCCCUGUUAAUGUUAUCAUCUCCUCCCUGACAGCCGCCCUCCGCCGGGGAGCGCCUGCGACAAAGCACAUCCGUCAAGCGAAUAUUUCCACGGCUAAGGGGACCGCGCACUGCAAUAAGCCACAUUAAAGCACUUAUGAAGGGUGCAGGCCGAGCAGUUUGUGUGCAUGUCCCCGUCUGUGUGUGCGGGGUGAACCUUUAGCAUCCCUCUUAGUGGCGCGCGGGCUCGGCGCGAGCGCACGUCCGCACACACGGGGUUCGCGAGCGCGCGGCGCUCCUGUCAGCGUGGUAAAAGAGGCGAGGUGGGGGCCGACAGGGAGAGGAAGAGCAGCUCCAAAAGGUUGACCCUCCAUCACGAGCCCGCCUCGCCUCUUUUAUAAGACAGGUGGUCCGAUCGGAAGGGCUGAGACCGCUGCAGCAUACAAGACCUCGCUGCAAAAAAAAAAUCCACACGCACGCCAAAGUUCGACUCGUUCGUUUUUUUUUUUGUUUUUUUUUGUGAGGACCCGGAGAGAUGUGACAGCGUUUAUCCAUUCUGCCUCAGCUGGGGGUUGCAGGGCCCUUCUGCAGGGGCUGACAGAUGGAUCAGCCAGCCUAGAGGCAGCGGGAAGAGAUGAGAGGGGAGCGGAGAAGCCUUUCGCAUCGCUCAUGCGGAUUUCACUUUUCAUCGUGGAGCCCGAGUGAUCCAUAGCCGUUCAUCAGUGCCAGUUUCAGAUGGCUGUUUGG